UACGGGGGGGGCAAGCGUUGUUCGGAAUUACUGGGCGUAAAGGGCUCGUAGGUGGCCAACUAAGUCAGACGUGAAAUCCCUCGGCUUAACCGGGGGACUGCGUCUGAUACUGGAUGGCUUGAGUUUGGGAGAGGGACGCGGAAUUCCAGGUGUAGCGGUGAAAUGCGUAGAUAUCUGGAGGAACACCGGUGGCGAAGGCGGCGUCCUGGACCAACACUGACACUGAGGAGCGAAAGCCAGGGGAGCAAACGGG
rnacentral:rRNA from 1 species